rnacentral:rRNA from 1 species
UACGUAGGGGGCAAGCGUUGUCCGGAAUUAUUGGGCGUAAAGAGCGCGUAGGCGGUCCGAUAAGUCGGCUGUGAAAGUCCAGGGCUCAACCCUGGAAAGCCGGCCGAUACUGUCGGACUAGAGUCCGGAAGAGGCGAGUGGAAUUCCCGGUGUAGCGGUGAAAUGCGCAGAUAUCGGAAGGAACAUCAGUGGCGAAAGCGACUUCCUGGACCAGUACCGACGUUCAGGCACGAAAGCGUGGGGAGCAAACAGG